CUAUGUGAUGAUCUUUCUUUGCUUCGGCAAGUUGGAAUUACCGACCUAGGCCAUCUGGCUGUUGAGGACAACAAUUGGCUGUUUCUGAUU
rnacentral:snoRNA from 1 species